rnacentral:rRNA from 1 species
GACGAACGCUGGCGGCGUGCUUAACACAUGCAAGUCGAACGGAAAGGCCCUGCUUGUGUGGGGUGCUCGAGUGGCGAACGGGGGAGUAACACGUGAGUAGCCUGCCCUUGACUUUGGGAUAACUUCAGGAAACUGGGGCUAAUACCGGAUAGGAGCUCCUGCUGCAGGGUGGGGGUUGGAAAGUUUCGGCGGGUGGGGAUGGACUCGCGGAUUAUCAGCUUGUUGGUGGGGUAGUGGCUUACCAAGGCUUUGGCGGGUAGCCGGCCUGAGAGGGUGGCCGGCCACCUUGGGCCUGCGAUACGGCCCAGACUCCUACGGGAGGCAGCAGUGGGGAAUCUUGCCCAAUGGGCGGACGCCUGAUGCAGCAACGCCGCGUGCGGGAUGACGGCCUUCGGGUUGUAAACCGCUUUCGCCUGUGACGAAGCGUGAGUGACGGUAAUGGGUAAAGAAGCACCGGCUAACUACGUG